UAACACUAGGCAACACAGGUCAUGUACAGGGAUGGUGACAUAGUGCGUUGGAUAGGUCUUGGUGCCCUGAAUACGGAACACACAUCCGUUCGUCCCAGUCACGUCUGUGUGGAGACGUAACCCAUUAGAAUAUAUGACAAUGAAAGUGCACCGAUCCGAUUAGCCGUUGGCGUGGUAAGGUAUUCGGACCUCCUGAGUUCAAAUAACAACUCUAUUGAUCUCGGUGACCCAUCUGUGGUUCAGACCAGGAAUAUUUUUUGACUGUGUGGUUAUUUUUUUUUCGAUCUGAACCACAGAUAGGUGAUCGAGACCAAUAGAGUUGUUAUUUGAACUCAGGAGGUCCGAAUACCUUACCACACCAACGGCCAAUCGGAUCGGUGCACUUUCAUUGUCAUAUAUUCUAAUGGGUUACGUCUCCACACAGACGUGACUGGGACGAACGGAGGUGUGUUCCGUAUUCAGGGCACCAAGACCUAUCCAACGCACUAUGUCACCAUCCCUGUACAUGACCUGUGUUGCCUAGUUCUUGCUGAGAAUAUAUA